AUGAACGCUGGCGGCGUGCCUAAUACAUGCAAGUCGAGCGAACGGACGAGAAGCUUGCUUCUCUGAUGUUAGCGGCGGACGGGUGAGUAACACGUGGAUAACCUACCUAUAAGACUGGGAUAACUUCGGGAAACCGGAGCUAAUACCGGAUAAUAUUUUGAACCGCAUGGUUCAAAAGUGAAAGACGGUCUUGCUGUCACUUAUAGAUGGAUCCGCGCUGCAUUAGCUAGUUGGUAAGGUAACGGCUUACCAAGGCAACGAUGCAUAGCCGACCUGAGAGGGUGAUCGGCCACACUGGAACUGAGACACGGUCCAGACUCCUACGGGAGGCAGCAGUAGGGAAUCUUCCGCAAUGGGCGAAAGCCUGACGGAGCAACGCCACGUGAGUGAUGAAGGUCUUCGGAUCGUAAAACUCUGUUAUUAGGGAAGAACAUAUGUGUAAGUAACUGUGCACAUCUUGACGGUACCUAAUCAGAAAGCCACGGCUAACUACGUG
rnacentral:rRNA from 1 species